GACGAACGCUGGCGGCGCGCUUAACACAUGCAAGUCGAACGGAAAGGCCUGCUUUCCCUUGUGGAUUGCGGGUACUCGAGUGGCGAACGGGUGAGUAACACGUGAGUGAUCUGCCCCCAACUUGGGUAUAAGCCUGGGAAACUGGGUCUAAUUCCCGAUAGGACUGCAGGGUGGUGCCUGUGGUGGAACACGAUUUUCUAGUGGUUGGGGAUGAGCUCGCGGCCUAUCAGCUUGUUGGUGGGGUAAUGGCCUACCAAGGCGUCGACGGGUAGCCGGCCUGAGAGGGUGGACGGCCACAUUGGGACUGAGAUACGGCCCAGACUCCUACGGGAGGCAGCAGUGGGGAAUAUUACACAAUGGGCGGAAGCCUGAUGCAGCGACGCCGCGUGGGGGAUGACGGCCUUCGGGUUGUAAACUCCUUUCGACCGCGAGGAAGCCACCUGGUUGGAAGGGUGGUGACGGUAGUGGUAGAAGAAGCACCGGCUAACUACGUG
rnacentral:rRNA from 1 species